rnacentral:pre_miRNA from 1 species
CCUGGGAAGAGGAAGAAAGAGGGUCUAAGAUCUGUAGGGAUGGGAACAUGGAGGAAACUGCAAGCUACAUUUAUGUAGAGACCUAGUUUGCAGCUUUCCCAAUGCCUCCCAUUCCUAUUGUUCUUAGGUGCUCCUUCCUCUUCCUUUGGUCU